GCUGGACGUGGUGGCUCAUGCCUGUAAUCCCAGUGGCUUGGGAGGCUGAGACAGGAGGAUCAGGAGUUCAAAUCCAGUCUCAGCAAUGAUGAGGCACUGAACAAUUCAGUGAGACCCUAUCUCUA
rnacentral:sRNA from 1 species